CAAUAGCGUAUAUUAAAGUUGUUGCGGUUAAAAAGCUCGUAGUUGGAUUUCUGCCGAGGACGACCGGUCCGCCCUCUGGGUGUGUAUCUGGUUUGGCCUGGGCAUCUUCUUGGAGAACGUAGCUGCACUUGACUGUGUGGUGCGGUGUCCAGGACUUUUACUUUGAGGAAAUUAGAGUGUUUCAAGCAGGCACACGCCUUGAAUACAUUAGCAUGGAAUAAUAAGAUAGGACCUCGGUACUAUUUUGUUGGUUUUGAGGACUGAGGUAAUGAUUAAUAGGGAUAGUUGGGGGCAUUCGUACUUAACUGUCAGAGGUGAAAUUCUUGGAUUUGUUAAAGACGAACUACUGCGAAAGCAUUUGCCAAGGAUGUUUUCAUUGA
rnacentral:rRNA from 1 species